rnacentral:rRNA from 1 species
UACGGGGGGAGCAAGCGUUGCUCGGAUUUACUGGGCGUAAAGGGCGCGUAGGCGGCCACCGCAAGUCGGUUGUGAAAUCUCCGGGCUUAACCCGGAAAGGUCAACUGAUACUGCGGGGCUAGAGUGCAGAAGGGGCAACUGGAAUUCUCGGUGUAGCGGUGAAAUGCGUAGAUAUCGAGAGGAACACCUGCGGCGAAGGCGGGUUGCUGGGCUGACACUGACGCUGAGGCGCGAAAGCCAGGGGAGCAAACGGG